rnacentral:rRNA from 1 species
UACGGAGGGGACUAGCGUUGUUCGGAAUUACUGGGCGUAAAGCGUGCGCAGGCGGUUUUGUAAGUCUGUCGUGAAAUCCCCGGGCUCAACCUGGGAAUUGCGAUGGAGACUGCAAGGCUAGAAUCUGGCAGAGGGGGGUAGAAUUCCACGUGUAGCAGUGAAAUGCGUAGAGAUGUGGAGGAACACCGAUGGCGAAGGCAGCCCCCUGGGUCAAGACUGACGCUGAGGAGCGAAAGCGUGGGUAGCAAACAGG